UUGCAACCCUGGCCGCCGUCUAGCCAGUUGAAGACAAGCCAGUAAGCCAGUUAGCUGCUUUGAAGUCGAUCGGCAAGGGAAAAGACAGUAAACCUCAACCUAGUUGCCCGUUUAGUUUGGUCCCGCAAGCAAUCGCCGUGUGUGAGUUCUUCUGAGAGUAGAAAAAAAGGCCAUCGGAAGCCAUGCAUUAUUACCUAAGUAUCCGGCUGCUUACUGUGGGCAUCAUCGCGUUUGCUGCUGCGGCUCUUGCAUACGAGUACCCUGAAUCAAACGAGGAUGUUGACUUGGGGGCACGAAGUGACGAAGAACGUGAAGGAAUCCUUGAUGGCGCCAAAAAUUUGGUUGUGCGUUUAGCAGACAUCGUUAACCGACACGUCGUGGAUCCUAUAAAGAAUUUCUUUGGCGCUGGAACUAACAUCAACCAGUAAUCGUCGUUAUGCCUUCCAGAACAGCAUUAGAGUCGAAUCUGCUGUGCACAGUCUUACGAUAUCAUCACGACCAGCAAGCCGCAGCACCGGCCCUGUUAUGUUUCUUGAAAGAGUUACUUUGGCAUUUCAUUGUGUUCGAAGCGAACAUAGGUAAAACACACAUCUGUAACUUUCCCUCUUCGAGUUUCAGCGCAUCUUAUGUUGCUUACUAUAAGACGUGUCCUGUUACUGUUCUUUCAUUUCUGGUCAGAGUGUCAUUUUUCUGUGCAUUUGUAU
rnacentral:lncRNA from 1 species